rnacentral:rRNA from 1 species
GAUAACUAAUUACACCCACCAUCCGCCCGGGUACUACGAGCAUAAGCUUAAAACCCAAAAGACCUGGCGGUGCUUUAAAACCCCCUAGAGGAGCCUGUUCUAUAACUGAUAACCCCCGUUCAACCUCACCCUCUCUUGCCAUUACCGUUUAUAUACCACCGUCGUCAGCCCACCCUGUGAAGGACAAUUUGUGAGCAUAACUGAUAUAACCUCAUACGUCAGGUCGAGGUGUAACAUAUGAGAGGGGAAGAAAUGGGCUACAUUCGUUUAUUAACGAACCACGAAUGCAUGCUGAAAUCACAUGUUCGAAGCAGGAUUUAGCAGUAAGGAGAGGAUAGAGUACCC